rnacentral:rRNA from 1 species
GACGAACGCUGGCGGCGUGCUUAACACAUGCAAGUCGAACGGUAAGGCCCCUUCUGGGGUACACGCUUGGCGAACGGGUGAGUAACUCGUGCGCAACCUGCCCUUGCCUUUGUGUUACCUGCUGGCAACAGCUGCUAAUACCUGCUAUGUCCUCUUCUCUCCUGGGUUGUGGUGGUAAGCUCCGGCGGUCGGGGAUGGGCUCGCGGCCUAUCAGCUUGUUGGUGAGGUAAUGGCUCACCAAGGCUUCGACGGGUAGCCGGCCUGAGAGGGCGACCGGCCACACUGGGACUGAGAUACGGCCCAGACUCCUACGGGAGGCAGCAGUGGGGAAUAUUGCACAAUGGGCGGAAGCCUGAUGCAGCAACGCCGCGUGCGGGAUGACGGCCUUCGGGUUGUAAACCGCUUUCAGUAGGGACGAAGCGAACGUGACGGUAACGACAGAAGAAGGACCGGCUAACUACGUG